AUACGGAGGGGGCUAGCGUUGUUCGGAAUUACUGGGCGUAAAGGGCGCGUAGGCGGACAAUCAAGUCAGAGGUGAAAGGCCUGGGCUCAACCCGGGAACUGCCUUUGAAACUGAAGGUCUAGAGUCCGAGAGAGGAUAGCGGAAUUCCCAGUGUAGAGGUGAAAUUCGUAGAUAUUGGGAAGAACACCAGUGGCGAAGGCGGCUAUCUGGCUCGGAACUGACGCUGAGGCGCGAAAGCGUGGGGAGCAAACAGGAUUAGAAACCCGUGUAGUCC
rnacentral:rRNA from 1 species